UAGUAUUGGGUAGUGGGCCGAGCCGAGUGACAUACACCCACAUUAAGUGCAUGCUCACCCGAGGCGCACUUACCUUAAGGGAGUGCUGAGGGCACUGCCUUCUCCCCAGCAGCAAGGAUGCAGUUCGUCCUUCCAGACAAGACAGGGAGCUUUUGCGUAGCUCACUGGUCCCUGACAGGAGAAUCAUGGCCGCUUCCCAAAGCCGCAUUAUCUCCAUGGAGCCUCCUAGGGAGAGACAGGAUGCUGGGUAUUAGAGGACGACGUGACAGACCUAACAAAGGCAGCACAUGCUCUGGGAAGAAGGAUUCAGUCACACACCCAGGAGAAAAGCUGGCCCACAUCAGGUCCCUCAACAGAAGACAACAUGGCGUCCCACAUCGGAAGUCAACACUUCAAGGAGGCUGUCACAGUGGUGAAGGGGCUGCCAAGGCUGACUCAUUGCAUUUUAAGUAAACAUACACCCCCAAGAGCACGUGUCAUCGCAGUCCACCAAGCAGUCACAGCAAGUCCAUGGCCGCUUCCCCAGAGUUGGUGGGAGCUCUGGAAAGUCUUCCUGGAGUGGGAGUGAUGCUGAGGGUUGGUGACUAGGUGGCCCACAGGGUGAACACAGUGCAUGCCCCUCUGGUCAACCAGUCACACACCCUGGACGGUGCUGACACCAACAUCUCUUCUGGAAGUCGGCCUGGGGCCCAGGGAGCCUCUCUUCAAAGUCUUGUGAGGUGACGCUGGUGACAGAACCACAGCUGAUUCCCCAGAGUUGGUGAGACCCAUGGGAAGACCUCCUAUAGGUGCAUGGGAGGCUCGGAUUAUCGGGCCAGGUGACUUACAGCUAGGUCAGCGCAUUGUCCAUGGCCCGCCAUCCAUUCUUGGCUUUUCCACAUGGUUGACACAAAGACUAUCUUUCCUGAAGCUGCCAUUGUGUCCAGGAAGUCCUUAGAGGUAGCAUUUGGUACUGAAAAAAGUGUUGUCCGUGAAUGAUUCGUCAUAAGUAAAGCGAAUCCACCACGAACAACUUCUCUUCAAGUACCACAGAAAAGCAGAGACAAGACAGACAAGGAGUCCCCUUCCACUUCUCCAAGGGGAGUGGCUGCCAACCACCAUCCUGUGGACAGAGUGGACACCGAGCAUUAGUGAGGCAGCUUACGGGUGUCCUAGGAACACACUGGAGUUUGGGCAACCCUUCACUCACCUCCCUUGGAGUGGUGCUGGCACAGUCCCCCUUCCCUGGAGUUGAAAUUGUGGUCCUGAAUCCACACGCACAAGGUUUAGAAAUAAGAAGAGGGAAGCCACUUGUCACACGCCAGGAGCACUCCGCAGUGUGUAGACCCCAGGGUUUCUGAACAGGGCCUUGGACUUCUCAACAGAGCACACUGAGUUAUCCAUCAAGCACAUCAAGGUGCCAGCCAGGCUCCCGCAGGGCCCACUGAACUAGGGAGGUCCAGAGGGGGCCCCCUUUUGCCACUGCAGGUGCCCCUAGAGAAACUGCCCAGCUCAGGCACGCCAGGCUCCUGGUAGGUUCCCCAUCACUGCCCUGGGUAGAUUCUCUAUCAAUGCCCUUGUGGUCAGAGUGAUCUUUCCAACACAGACCACGCAUCCCCCCUGCUCACAACCCUUCCAAAUCCCCCAUCUCACUCAGAAUAAAACCUGGAGUCCUGCCUCUCCCAGCUCAGACCCAGCGACUCCCAGCAGCUCGGUUCAAUCCCACUGGCCUUCUUGCUUUUUCUUAAAGAUGCCAGGGGGCUUUCCAUGGGCCUUGCCCUCCUCCUGAAAUGCUCCUACCCCAGACCUUCCUCUGGUCCACCCCACUCCAUUCCCACCCACAUCCUCAGAGAGAGCUUUCCAGACCCCUGUAUUUAACACAAAGGUCCACCUGCUUUUACCUCUUUCUGUCACUGUAACCCGCUUUCCCUUUCCCCAUAAAACCUAGCAGUGGACAAAAUUACGCUUCCUAAUUCAUGUGUUCUCAUCCGUCUCUUCCACCAGAAUGUAAAGUCCACAUGAGCAAGAACUUGAUUUCAUUCACUGCUCUCUGCUAAGGUCCAGAAUCACCUAGAACACAGUGUGCACUCCAUCACUAUUUAUGGAAUGACCAAGUCAUUCCUUGUUAUUUGAUCAACUCAUGAACCAUGUAGUUAUGCUAUAAACAAAAGAAUCUGAUUUUUUUAAAAAGAGAGAACUUUAUCGAAACAAAAUCAUGGUGGCCAAAGUCACCAACCCUCUCAAUAGCCAUUAUGGCCAUGGGCAGGACACAGCUCUGGCAGGAGAGUGAGCUCAGGGAGACGCCUCAGAAACAAAGCUCAGACUGCUCAACUAACUCUCCACAAACUCCAACAGAUGUGGAUGCCAAGUCUCCCCAGAGGGCGGUGCUGCUUCCAGAAACCCUUCCCUGGCAAGAUUUGGCACUCAAAAAUUCUGCCCUGGAACAAAAGCAAUAAUGAUGAC
rnacentral:lncRNA from 1 species